CUGGCUGAAACAUGCCACAUAAUUAGAUUUUCUUUUUCUUUACCUUUUCUUUCUUAUUUUUAUAAGAGGCCCGGAAUUAGCCUCUUCGACUGGGGCGGAGUAGCUGGGGUGUGGGAAAGGAACACCUUCAUACAACUUCCAGCUUUCAGCCCCUUGGAGAGAUUUCCAAAUUCCCCAGAGCCUCUAGGACUUCCUUUCCUCGAUCUCUCGGCCACCUCCUCCUCCUUCUCCGAUCUGUUUUUUUUUCCCUCCUCCCACUGUCUUCUCUAUGGUUUAAUCAAAGUUCAGCGACUCCACUUGCCUCUCCUCUCAUUUCUUUCGGAAAGGGGAAACCAGACGACCCAGCGGCCACGGGACGAGUCGCCCCAACUCAACCCCAGCAGGACGCUGGAGGGGCCUCCCUUGCCCACCUCUCUUCGCUGGCACUGGCCUCCUGCACCCGGGUCUGCAGUCCCUCCGCCAUCUCACAAGUGUGCAGCCGCUAGGCCUGGGGGAUCCGAAUGACUGGGGCUGGAUAGGAAUGCCUUCGUGUUUCCCAAGACCCCCGGGCCUGCUCCACAAAGUUUGAAGGGAGCCCCUGUUUUAAGAAGGAGGCCAAAUGUGCAGGCUCAGGCCAAGCAGCAGAGAUGAAUGAGGUGAUGACCACAGCCUUGAUCCGGCAGGAGCUCAGAGAUGCCCGGGAAGACGGGGGGCCCGAAUGGAAGCAGAAAAACACUUAUGGCCGCUGGGAAGUUGGGAGAGCCAGGCUGGGACUCCGGCAGGCCCAGGGAAAGUUCCCCUUCUAGGCUCUUUAUUAAAAAAUUUAAAAGGAGGAGUUGAGGCGCCUUGAAUUUUCCUUCGCGAGUUUGGAGACCAGCCGAUUUUUCACGAAGCAAGCAAAGACCGCGGUCCCGGAUCCUGCAACAUAUACCUCAUUUUCUCCAGGUACAGUUUUCUGGUCAUUUAAUUGGUUUGUUUUCUUGGGGGAGAUGGGAAUCACAGGCGUAGAGAUAGUAAGUUGGCUAGAGAGGAAGCCACCCCACAGUUUCGGGUCUAACGAAAUCCCUCCUUUAAAAACAUUUGUACCCCCAAUAAAAAUAAAAUUAAAGAGGAAUAUAGAAACACAAAUUAGCCAACUUUUUUAAAAGAGAAAAAAGAAAAGAAAAUCAUCGUAACAGAUGAGCGUGAGAACUUCUAAAAAAUUUGUCACGAACCCUUUCAGAGGUCUGGAUUCUUUUUCAGUAGCCGGUGACCCAUUUGGUCUGAAAAGAGAAAUACACUAUCCACUGAGUCACUUAUUUAAAGCCAGCACACACACACACACACACACACACGCACACACACACACACACACACACACACACGCACAUUCAGAAAGCCCUGGGUGCCCUCGCAUUUGAAAACAACACCGGGUGGAGGACGCUGCGAUACCUAAUUGGACAAAACAGCAAUAAAAUAAGACCAGUGGAAGUGCUGAGCACAGGGCGCAGGGCUAGGGCCCAGGUUUUGUGUUCCAGGCCGAGGGCGAGGCAGCGGCCCCGGGAGAUGGGGCGCCGGGCAGUCAGGCACCGGCUGGCGACUCUGCUCGGCCUCCGCAGCCCGGCCUGCAGCCCCUUACCCCCAGCCUCUGGGCCUCGUGGGCUCUCUACGCUCCGACGCCUGUUCGGGGCUUCCCUGUUGAGAGGGUUUUAGGCCGAAGGGCUGAACGACUCAAGCCAGACUCUGCUUUUUCAUUUUUCUCCCUUAGGCCUCUCCACUUGCCCGAGCUCUCAGCCACCAGGAGACAGACGGAAGGGGCUUCUGGGCUGUGUUGGGAGCGGGCAUUGUCCCCUACCCACUCCUGCACAGUUUCCCAAAGUCCAGCCACCUCCGACCCUCCUUGGGGGAAAAAAUACCAGUACCCAGACACCUCUGCACCCUGUUAUAUGACUGGGCUUGCUUCAGGAAUAUCUUACAAAGAAGAAGGAGGAGGAGGAGGAACGGCUUGGAGUCAUGUUUACAUCUAGUUCUACUGAUCCGUUCACAUCUGGAGAGUUUAUUUAUAACUCCCUCUAUAACUCUCUGUUUGGAGGCACUGGUGGCUCUACUGACAGACUGAUGUCUAGGAAAUAUUGCUCUAUGUCUAAUGGUACCUAAAUGUGCUGUGGUUGUAUUUACAGAUUUACGUUUGAGGGAAAUAUAAUUAUUUCCAUUGUA
rnacentral:lncRNA from 1 species